UAUGAGUUUAUGGGAUGGGAAGGACAAGAAUGUGACUUUCAGAAGCUGUGUAUUUUAGGAUGACCUGUGAAAAGGAUUACCAUCAGUCCAUGGCAUGUGGUUUAUAUCAGAAUAUAGGGAAGGAUACAGAUAUCAAAGCAAGUAGUUGCUUGAGCCUGAGAGCUGAAGGCAGUAGCAUUUGGAAUCAGAAAAGACAAAUGAAAAAUGUCUACCAUUCACCACUGAGACUUUAAGGAAGUAAACAGAAUGAUCAUUAAAUCUUGUCAAGCAAGAUCCUCUUCCACAUAUAAAUUUCAAACUUUCAGCCAGAUGCAGAUGCUGAUGCUGUCACUCUAAAAAUAAAUUCCAAAAUUCUGCUUUGAA